UAUUUGUGGCAAGAAGGUGAUGGGUGUCAUUAGAGUUUUGUUCCUGUUGAAGUAGCCGGAGUUCGGCUUUCCUCUUGAAGCCUCAGCAGAGGUCCCUGGGGCUGAAUGGGGAUCCCUGGAGACAAGUGGUGAGCCUCCUCCUGGCAUCUCUGCGCAACGCCCGCCCGGCCCGGGGACUGUCAUAGCAACAGCGCGCACCGGCGCAGCGGCCAGCCAAUGGCAGUGCAUCCCGGUGAGCUGGCAUAGCUGGUCUCCAUUUUGCAGAUAAAUCGACCGAGGCUCAGAGGAGGCAAGAAGAUACCCAGGCUCACGGAGUCGUCAGAAUCUGAACCCAGGUCCACCAUCUUCUCCCUCCUAUCUCUCCACUGUCCCUUUGCAGCAGUGGUGACCUCCUCCUAGGCCUGGAACCUCACUCCUGAGGACUGUCCUUGAAGCACACUUCUCUGGUCCUGUAGGGAAUCCAUUUCCGCCUGCAGUGAAGGUUCACACCACAGUCUCCUGGAGAGGUAUGCAGUAGGUGCGGCUCAGUAUGCAACCCAGGAGGCUUCUACACAGCAAACUUCGGCAGAAGCACCCCACUGUGAAGCUGUGCCAGCACGCCUGUCUCUCCCAGAAGCUUUCCAGCCCCUCAGCCUUGGGAAUCACCAUUAUUAUUAUUUGAUCUAGUCCCCAGGCAAACCCUGAUCUGCGUUCUGCCAUGCCAGAUCAUUCUCUUUUGCUAGGCAUCUAA